rnacentral:rRNA from 1 species
UAGGGAAUCUUCCGCAAUGGACGCAAGUCUGACGGAGCAACGCCGCGUGAGUGAAGAAGGAUUUCGGUUCGUAAAACUCUGUUGUUAGAGAAGAACAGCGCAUAGAGUAACUGUUAUGCGUGUGACGGUAUCUAACCAGAAAGCCACGGCUAACUACGUGCUAGCAGCCGCGGUAAUACGUAGGUGGCAAGCGUUGUCCGGAUUUAUUGGGCGUAAAGCGAGCGCAGGCGGUCAAUUAAGUCUGAUGUGAAAGCCCCCGGCUCAACCGGGGAGGGUCAUUGGAAACUGGUUGACUUGAGUGCAGAAGAGGAGAGUGGAAUUCCAUGUGUAGCGGUGAAAUGCGUAGAUAUAUGGAGGAACACCAGUGGCGAAGGCGACUCUCUGGUCUGUAACUGACGCUGAGGCUCGAAAGCGUGGGUAGCAAACAGG